CAAUAGCGUAUAUUAAAGUUGUUGCAGUUAAAAAGCUCGUAGUUGGAUUUCUGGUGGGAGCGAUCGGUCUGGCGCUUAGCGCGAGUACUUGCAUCGUCUCCGGCCACCCUUGGGGAGAGUCUGUCUGGCAUUAGGUUGUCGGGCAGAGGAUCCUCAUCGUUUACUGUGAAAAAAUUAGAGUGUUCAAAGCAGGCUUAUGCCGUUGAAUAUAUUAGCAUGGAAUAAUAAGAUAGGACUUUGGUACUAUUUUGUUGGUUUGCGCACCAAAGUAAUGAUUAAUAGGGACAGUUGGGGGUAUUCGUAUUCCGUUGUCAGAGGUGAAAUUCUUGGAUUUACGGAAGACGAACUACUGCGAAAGCAUUUACCAAGGAUGUUUUCAUUAA
rnacentral:rRNA from 1 species